rnacentral:rRNA from 1 species
GCAAUGCGUGGCAUACGGCUCAGUAACACGUAGUCAACAUGCCCAGGGGACGUGGAUAACCUCGGGAAACUGAGGAUAAACCGCGAUAGGCCAAGGUUUCUGGAAUGGACACUGGCUGAGACCUAUAUGGCCCCUGGAUUGGACUGCGGCCGAUCAGGCUGUUGGUGAGGUAAUGGCCCACCAAACCUGUAACCGGUACGGGCUUUGAGAGAAGGAGCCCGGAGAUGGGCACUGGGACAAGGGCCCAGGCCCUAUGGGGCGCAGCAGGCGCGAAAAUUCUGCAAUAGGCGAAAGCUUGACAGAGUUACUCUGAGUGAUGCCCGCUAAGGGCAUCUUUUGGCACCUCUAGAAAUGGUGCAGAAUAAGGGGUGGGCAAGUCUGGUGUCAGCCGCCGCGGUAAUACCAGCACCCCGAGUGGUCGGGACGAUUAUUGGGCCUAAAGCAUCCGUAGCUUGUUCUGCAAGUCUUCCGUUAAAUCCACCUGCUCAACAGAUGGGCUGCGGGAGAUACUACAGGGCUAGGAGGCGGGAGAGGCAAGCGGUACUCAGUGGGUAGGGGUAAAAUCCUCUGAUCCACUGAAGACCACCAGUGGCGAAGGCGGCUUGCCAGAACGCGCUCGACGGUGAGGGAUGAAAGCUGGGGGAGCAAACCGGAUUAGAUACCCGGGUAGUCCC